UACGUAGGGCGCAAGCGUUGUCCGGAAUUAUUGGGCGUAAAGAGCUCGUAGGCGGCUUGUCACGUCGGAUGUGAAAGCCCGAGGCUUAACCUCGGGUCUGCAUUCGAUACGGGCUAGCUAGAGUGUGGUAGGGGAGAUCGGAAUUCCUGGUGUAGCGGUGAAAUGCGCAGAUAUCAGGAGAAACACCGGUGGCGAAGGCGGCAUCCUGGACCGACACUGACACUGAGGAGCGAAAGCCAGGGGAGCAAACGGG
rnacentral:rRNA from 1 species